UUCUCCUGCCUCAGCCUCCCGGGUAGUAGCUGGGACUACAGGCAUCCGCCACCGUGCCCGGCUAAUUUUUUGUGUUUUUAGUCUGGGAUACUUGUGCAGAAUGAGCAGGUUUGUUACAUAGUUACACAUGUACCAUGGUGGUUUUCUGCAUCCAUCAACCUGUCGUCUAGGUUUUAAGCCCCGCAUGCAUUAGGUAUUUGCUCUAAUGCUCUCCCUCUCCUUGCCCCCAACCCCCGACAGGCCCCGGUGUGUGAUGUUCCCCUCCCUCAGAGUGACUUUUAUGGAAA
rnacentral:lncRNA from 1 species